AGUAUGGCCGAGGGUCAUGGUGGUGGUCAUGGUCAUGGUCAUGGAGGUGGUCAUGGAGGUGGAAAGGGUCAUGGCGGCAAAGGUCAUGGUGGUGGCCAUGGGGGCAAGGGACACGGAGGCCAUGGUGGCGGACACGGGGGCAAAGGACAUGGAGGCGGCCAUGGAGGAAAGGGGCACCAUGGAUAAACAUAGCAGCUGAAAGAUGUGUCACGAGAAAGCCCUUGUUUUUUUAUUCCACUGCUGCUGGACAACGGGGAAACAACAACUCAUGUAAAACAUGAUGAUGUUGUAUUUUGUUUGACCAGACCUCUGAAUAAAAAUACACUCCAAAGUGUUAAAUCUGA